GAUGAACGCUGGCGGCGUGCCUAAUACAUGCAAGUCGAGCGAACGGACGAGAAGCUUGCUUCUCUGAUGUUAGCGGCGGACGGGUGAGUAACACGUGGAUAACCUACCUAUAGGACUGGGAUAACUUCGGGAAACCGGAGCUAAUACCGGAUAAUAUUUUGAACCGCAUGGUUCAAAAGUGAAAGACGGUCUUGCUGUCACUUAUAGAUGGAUCCGCGCUGCAUUAGCUAGUUGGUAAGGUAACGGCUUAUCAAGGCAACGAUGCAUAGCCGACCUGAGAGGGUGAUCGGCCACACUGGAACUGAGACACGGUCCAGACUCCUACGGGAGGCAGCAGUAGGGAAUCUUCCGCAAUGGGCGAAAGCCUGACGGAGCAACGCCGCGUGAGUGAUGAAGGUCUUCGGAUCGUAAAACUCUGUUAUUAGGGAAGAACAUAUGUGUAAGUAACUGUGCACAUCUUGACGGUACCUAAUCAGAAAGCCACGGCUAACUACGUG
rnacentral:rRNA from 1 species